AGAAGGUGUAGCCCUGAGAGGAAGUGCAAGAGUCACAAGUCGAGUGUUCGCAGAUGCCAGGGAAAUGGAGCAAGUUGAGAUUGAGGUCGCUCUCAUAAUUGGUUGGAGAAGCCUCUUUCAGCCAUGGGCAUGGGCGAAAGCAGAGAUUUAUAACAUACCAAAGCACCGAGAAGGGACUGCUGAGUUCUCCACUGCAAAGCAGAAAUCUAUAUCACUCACUCCAAAGCCCAGAAAUAUUUCAGAAGAGGAGAGGAAGGGCUGUAAGAGCUGGAGAGUGGAAAGGACUUUUAUAAAAUGCUGUCACCUGAGUAUCACACAGCUGUUACAAUUAUGAACACCAGGGACGACAGUGACACCUGCAGAAGACAUGCACACAAAAGAGAGAUGAGUGUGGGGACAUGGCUAAGAAGAAGGGACUGAGCAGGGGUGGGAGGAGGAGUCAGACGGAUGACAACAGACAAUGUGAUCAAUGUAGAAUGUACACAUACAGGAAACUCAAAAUCUUAAGCCUGUGUUUGCCCUUGUGGUAAAAUCCAAACUGCUUGUAUU
rnacentral:lncRNA from 1 species